UUGUAAGCUACGAGUGAUUGACACAUCGUACCAUUUAUUAAGUUCUACUAAAUUACCAUCGUAAAUACAUCAACAUAACCUCUUUCUCAACAGUUUUCUGUUACAAAUUUAUUUACUCGUUGGAUUUACGAAUUACGAUUAUUUCCGCAAACAUUGUUAACCAGUCGAUUGUUGUCAUGGAGACGAGUUGUGUUUUCUCUGAGGUACAAAGUGGAACCACGUCUCUGCCCUGGCACGACGCCAUGAAGGGGUGUAUGAGGGCGUGUAGGUAAAUCUCCACCCGUUUUAAGUCUCCAUCUCAGCAGUAGAUGGCAGUGACAGUUGGACUACACUCUCAGACCGAUCGUCGUAUUUGAGAGACCCUGAGACCUGCUAUCUCAACCGAGGUCCUUCGUAGUUUUCCUCAGUCAU